rnacentral:snRNA from 1 species
CUGCUUUUGCAGCAUGCAUCGUAAAAUUGGAAUAAUACAAAGAAGAUAGCAUGGCUUCUGCAUGAGCGUAACACAGAAAUUCAUGAAGCAUUCCUUAUUUUU